rnacentral:tRNA from 1 species
GCCGGGAUAGCUCAAUGGUAGAGCACCUGUUUUGUAAACAGAAGGUUAGGGGUUCAAGUCCCCUCCCCGGCU